rnacentral:misc_RNA from 1 species
GAUGAAGAACGUAGCGAAAUGCGAUAAGUAGUGUGAAUUGCAGAAUUCAGUGAAUCAUCGAAUCUUAGAACGCACAUUGCGCCCUUUGGUAUUCCUUAGGGCAUGCCUGUUCGAGCGUCAUUUGAAACCUCAAGCUCAGCUUGGUGUUGGGUGUCUGUCCCCGCCUCACCGCGGGGACUCGCCUCAAAAUCAUUGGCGGCCGGUACGUUGGCUUCGAGCGCAGCAGAAACGCGAACUCGAGGCCCGGCGGAUCGGCGACCAGAAGUCACUUCUUCACAGUUUGACCUCGGAUCAGGUAGGGAUACCCGCUGAACUUAAGCAUAUCAAUAAGCGGAGGA